rnacentral:piRNA from 1 species
UGCAGAUGUGCUUUUGUAUUAAAUUUAAAUU